rnacentral:rRNA from 1 species
AUAUUCCUGUACUUGGUGUUACUGCGAAGGGGGGACGGAGAAGGCUAUGUUGGCCGGGCGACGGUUGUCCCGGUUUAAGCGUGUAGGCUGGUUUUCCAGGCAAAUCCGGAAAACUAAGGCUGAGGCGUGAUGACGAGGCACUACGGUGCUGAAGCAACAAAUGCCCUGCUUCCAGGAAAAGCCUCUAAGCAUCAGGUAACAUCAAAUCGUACCCCAAACCGACACAGGUGGUCAGGUAGAGAAUACCAAGGCGCUUGAGAGAACUCGGGUGAAGGAACUAGGCAAAAUGGUGCCGUAACUUCGGGAGAAGGCACGCUGAUAUGUAGGUGAAGCGACUUGCUCGUGGAGCUGAAAUCAGUCGAAGAUACCAGCUGGCUGCAACUGUUUAUUAAAAACACAGCACUGUGCAAACACGAAAGUGGACGUAUACGGUGUGACGCCUGCCCGGUGCCGGAAGGUUAAUUGAUGGGGUCAGCGCAAGCGAAGCUCUUGAUCGAAGCCCCGGUAAACGGCGGCCGUAACUAUAACGGUCCUAAGGUAGCGAAAUUCCUUGUCGGGUAAGUUCCGACCUGCACGAAUGGCGUAAUGAUGGCCAGGCUGUCUCCACCCGAGACUCAGUGAAAUUGAACUCGCUGUGAAGAUGCAGUGUACCCGCGGCAAGACGGAAAGACCCCGUGAACCUUUACUAUAGCUUGACACUGAACAUUGAGCCUUGAUGUGUAGGAUAGGUGGGAGGCUUUGAAGUGUGGACGCCAGUCUGCAUGGAGCCGACCUUGAAAUACCACCCUUUAAUGUUUGAUGUUCUAACGUUGACCCGUGAUCCGGGUUGCGGACAGUGUCUGGUGGGUAGUUUGACUGGGGCGGUCUCCUCCUAAAGAGUAACGGAGGAGCACGAAGGUUGGCUAAUCCUGGUCGGACAUCAGGAGGUUAGUGCAAUGGCAUAAGCCAGCUUGACUGCGAGCGUGACGGCGCGAGCAGGUGCGAAAGCAGGUCAUAGUGAUCCGGUGGUUCUGAAUGGAAGGGCCAUCGCUCAACGGAUAAAAGGUACUCCGGGGAUAACAGGCUGAUACCGCCCAAGAGUUCAUAUCGACGGCGGUGUUUGGCACCUCGAUGUCGGCUCAUCACAUCCUGGGGCUGAAGUAGGUCCCAAGGGUAUGGCUGUUCGCCAUUUAAAGUGGUACGCGAGCUGGGUUUAGAACGUCGUGAGACAGUUCGGUCCCUAUCUGCCGUGGGCGCUGGAGAACUGAGGGGGGCUGCUCCUAGUACGAGAGGACCGGAGUGGACGCAUCACUGGUGUUCGGGUUGUCAUGCCAAUGGCACUGCCCGGUAGCUAAAUGCGGAAGAGAUAAGUGCUGAAAGCAUCUAAGCACGAAACUUGCCCCGAGAUGAGUUCUCCCUGACUCCUUGAGAGUCCUGAAGGAACGUUGAAGACGACGACGUUGAUAGGCCGGGUGUGUAAGCGCAGCGAUGCGUUGAGCUAACCGGUACUAAUGAACCGUGAGGCUUAACCUU